AUUGAACGCUGGCGGCAGGCCUAACACAUGCAAGUCGAGCGGGGUUUUCGGACCUAGCGGCGCACGGGUGAGUAAUGCGUAGGAAGCUACCCGAUAGAGGGGGAUAACAGUUGGAAACGACUGUUAUUACCGCAUAAUGUCUACGGACCAAAGUGUGGGACAUUCGGGCCACAUGCUAUCGGAUGCGCCGACGUGGGAUUAGCUAGUUGGUGGGGUAAUGGCUCACCAAGGCGACGAUCCCUAGCUGGUGUGAGAGGAUGAUCAGCCACACUGGAACUAAGACACGGUCCAGACACCUACGGGAGGCAGCAGUGGGGAAUAUUGGACAAUGGGCGCAAGCCUGAUCCAGCCAUGCUGCGUGUGUGAAGAAGGCCUUCGGGUUGUAAAGCACUUUCAGUAGGGAGGAAGGGUGUUGUGUUAAUAGCACAGCAUUUUGACGUUACCUACAGAAGAAGCACCGGCUAACUCUGUGCCAGCAGCCGCCGCAGUAC
rnacentral:rRNA from 1 species